UGGGGAAUAUUGCACAAUGGGCGCAAGCCUGAUGCAGCCAUGCCGCGUGUAUGAAGAAGGCCUUCGGGUUGUAAAGUACUUUCAGCGGGGAGGAAGGGAGUAAAGUUAAUACCUUUGCUCAUUGACGUUACCCGCAGAAGAAGCACCGGCUAACUCCGUGCCAGCAGCCGCGGUAAUACGGAGGGUGCAAGCGUUAAUCGGAAUUACUGGGCGUAAAGCGCACGCAGGCGGUUUGUUAAGUCAGAUGUGAAAUCCCCGGGCUCAACCUGGGAACUGCAUCUUAGACUGGCAAGCGUGAGUCUCGUAGAGGGGGGUAGAAUUCCAGGUGUAGCGGUGAAAUGCGUAGAGAUCUGGAGGAAUACCGGUGGCGAAGGCGGCCCCCUGGACGAAGACUGACGCUCAGGUGCGAAAGCGUGGGGAGCAAACAGG
rnacentral:rRNA from 1 species